UACGAAGGGUGCAAACGUUGCUCGGAAUCAUUGGGCGUAAAGCGCACGUAGGCGGCUUGCCAAGUCGGACGUGAAAUCCCUCAGCUCAACUGAGGACGUGCAUCCGAAACUGGCGAGCUUGAGUACUGAAGAGGAUCGCGGAAUUCCCGGUAUAGAGGUGAAAUUCGUAGAUAUCGGGAGGAACACCAGUGGCGAAGGCGGCGAUCUGGGCGAUACUGACGCUGAGGAG
rnacentral:rRNA from 1 species